AUCCAGAAGGGUAGAUGACACAGUAUGAAGGAAUUUACACAGCACAGAAGAUGUUGUUCAGCCCAUCACAUUUGUGACAGCCCUCUGAGAAAGGAACUCAGCUGAUUCCUCUCUCCUGACACACAGAACCUAAACUGCUGCUCAUAAACACAAGAAAACGCUGAAGUAUGCAGCAAGUAAGACAGCAUCCGAGGUUUUGAGGAAGCUUCUGAGGGACCUGAAACAUUUACACUAAUUUCUCUCCACGGAUCCUACAAGACCUGCUGAGCCUUUCCAUCAAUUUCAGUUUAAGUCAGGCAACAUCUCUGAAUCAGAGCUGGAAAAAAACAAGAGACGCAGAGGUGGAAGUAGUUGUCGGUUUGGAAGGCACUGUCUAAGAGGAAUUUCUGCAGUGCAUCUUUAAGAUGUUGCGACUGAGCAUCGGACAGAGUGGGCUUUUUUGGGGACGUGGUGCAAAUCAAGCAGGCAGCUUUGUCCUGGAUGUUAAAUGGUUAAUAUCUGAGAACAUGUAUAACACCUUACAGAACAAAAACAAUUAGGUGUCGCCUUCAUUCCUUUCCAAUUGACAAAAGGAAAUAUAAGAAAGGAAUUUAGGGCAUUUGAGCAACUUCUAAAAUGAGUAAGUUAUUUCAUCAUUUUUGCAUCAGGGAAAGUCCCCAAGUUUGUACUGGUUGCCUGUCUUUUGGUUUAUAAAACUGUGAAUACUGAAACUUUACAAAUGAAAACAAAGAAUGCUAAAAGUUAUGACGUGGGAGGAAUGUUCCAAAUUUGGCUUUUUGCAAGGAAGCCUCAUAAGU